GGCCUCAUGGCUUAGUGGUUAAAGCGCCUGCCUAGUAAGCAGGAUAUCCUGGGUUCAAAUCCCAGUGGGGCCU
rnacentral:tRNA from 1 species